rnacentral:rRNA from 1 species
AGAACGAACGCUGGCGGCAUGCCUAAUACAUGCAAGUCGAACGAGAUCUUCGGAUCUAGUGGCGCACGGGUGCGUAACGCGUGGGAAUCUACCCUUGGGUUCGGAAUAACAGUUGGAAACGACUGCUAAUACCGGAUGAUGACGAAAGUCCAAAGAUUUAUCGCCCAAGGAUGAGCCCGCGUAGGAUUAGCUAGUUGGUGAGGUAAAGGCUCACCAAGGCUACGAUCCUUAGCUGGUCUGAGAGGAUGAUCAGCCACACUGGGACUGAGACACGGCCCAGACUCCUACGGGAGGCAGCAGUAGGGAAUAUUGGACAAUGGGCGCAAGCCUGAUCCAGCCAUACCGCGUGGGUGAAGAAGGCCUUGGGUGUAAA